GUGGAAAAGGAUGUGGCGUUGCCCAGACAACUAGGAUGUUGGCUUAGAAGCAGCCAUCAUUUAAAGAGUGCGUAAUAGCUCACUAGUCGAGUGACACUGCGCCGAAAAUGUACCGGGGCUAAACAUAUUACCGAAGCUGUGGAUUGUCCUUCGGACAAUGGUAGGAGAGCGUUCUAAGGGCGUUGAAGCAUGAUCGCAAGGACAUGUGGAGCGCUUAGAAGUGAGAAUGCCGGUGUGAGUAGCGAAAGACGGGUGAGAAUCCCGUCCACCGAUUGACUAAGGUUUCCAGAGGAAGGCUCGUCCGCUCUGGGUUAGUCGGGUCCUAAGCUGAGGCCGACAGGCGUAGGCGAUGGAUAACAGGUUGAUAUUCCUGUACCACCUAGUAUCGUUUUAAUCGAUGGGGGGACGCAGUAGGAUAGGCGAAGCGUGCUGUUGGAGUGCACGUCCAAGCAGUAAGGCUGAGUGUUAGGCAAAUCCGGCACUCGUUAGGCUGAGCUGUGAUGGGGAGAGGAAAUUGUUUCCUCGAGUCGUUGAUUUCACACUGCCGAGAAAAGCCUCUAGAUAGAUAACAGGUGCCCGUACCGCAAACCGACACAGGUAGUCAAGAUGAGAAUUCUAAGGUGAGCGAGCGAACUCUCGUUAAGGAACUCGGCAAAAUGACCCCGUAACUUCGGGAGAAGGGGUGCUCUUUAGGGUUCACGCCCAGAAGAGCCGCAGUGAA
rnacentral:rRNA from 1 species